rnacentral:rRNA from 1 species
GACGAACGCUGGCGGCGUGCCUAAUACAUGCAAGUAGAACGCUGAAGGAGGAGCUUGCUUCUCCGGAUGAGUUGCGAACGGGUGAGUAACGCGUAGGUAACCUGCCUGGUAGCGGGGGAUAACUAUUGGAAACGAUAGCUAAUACCGCAUAAGAGUAGAUGUUGCAUGACAUUUGCUUAAAAGGUGCAAUUGCAUCACUACCAGAUGGACCUGCGUGGUAUUAGCUAGUUGGUGGGGUAACGGCUUACCAAGGCGACGAUACAUAGCCGACCUGGGAGGGUGAUCGGCCACACUGGGACUGAGACACGGCCCAGACUCCUACGGGAGGCAGCAGUAGGGAAACUUCGGCAAUGGACGGAAGUCUGACCGAGCAACGCCGCGUGAGUGAAGAAGGGUUUCGGAUCGUAAAGCUCUGUUGUAAGAGAAGAACGAGUGUGAGAGUGGAAAGUUCACACUGUGACGGUAUCUUACCAGAAAGGGACGGCUAACUACGUG